UGCUUGCAUUGCACUGUGUAGCUCUCCCUGUGUUUUCACUGCAUCCCAGCGUCCCACUGCAGUUUGUUUGAUGCUGCAGGUCGUUCGCCUGCGGGCGCUUCCAUCGCUAUUCUCUGGUGCCGUUGCUUUAACCUCUGCUGCUGGCUUUCUCUUGUCGUGUUCUUCCCAAUCUCAGCUGUAUUUUUUGCUUCUUCUUCUUCUGCUUCUAUUGCUGCUUCUUCUUCUUCGCCUUCGUCUUCGUUUCAUGUGAGUUUUUCAUUUGCAGUAAUGAAGCCAUGCUGCCAGCUUCAAUUUCCACGAUGCGCGGGAUUCCUUUCGCAUGUCAAGCGUAAACUGUGUUCGAGUUUAGGAGUUUUGUUUAGUGUAUAUCAGUUGCUUUUUUCUGAGUUGAAGUUGCUUUGAUCCGUUUUUGUGUGAAGUAUACUUGUUUAUUGUUUAAUGAUGAUGUUAUUUGUUGUUCAAAAGUUUUUGCUCUGUCUCUCUCUCUCCAGCGCUUGAUGCAGCUAUACAUUGAAUGAAAUAAUGAGAAAAAAGAAUAAUAAUCAUACUCAUAUCAAUCAUCGUCAACUGUAUAAUUUCAAUUGCGCGUUGAAGUAUGAUGAUAGAAAAAGUAUUUUUUUCUAAACUUUUCAGGAUUCAAAAUAUUAUGAACUUUAUUGACAGAAGUUCUAAUGGUUUACAAGAAGUAAAGAGUGAAAUAUGGCACGUUUUGUAAUUCAGAUAUGCUAUUAAAGCAAUAGAUUUAAUAAUUUAUUAUUUAUAUUAGAAUGUCUCUUUUCCUUUGAUCAGUAAGAACAUUCAGAAAAUUGGAAGGAAAAUUUUGUAGUGGUCAUUUUUUAGCAGAAUAAGUAGCAUUGUUAUGAUAUCCUUCUCUUUUGGAGUUCUGAAUAGACUCAACGAAUUCAAUCUUUCUAGUUGUUUGUAAAUGUGUAAUGGAUCACUGCAAUUAUGAUUUGAUACAAGUAAUAAUAAUAACAACAUGACAAUUAUCAAAAUUUGAUUUAAGUAGCUAAUUAGAAUUUGAAUGACAUCAAUAACAAUAAUAUUUAUUGUAUUAAUGUGAGUAUAUACUAUGCAUUAUAUCUUUUAAAAAAUCUGUAGGAUUACUAAUUUCAGUAACAAGAACUAUAAUAAUAAUAAUAAUAAUAAUAAUAAUUUUGUUUAUUUGGCAUAAAUAUAAAUAUAUUUUUUUUAAUUUCAAUGCUAAAUUAACAAGAGUGAGCACACUAUCAAAAUCAGAGAGAGUAAUGGUGAUAAAGGAAGACUAAUUCUUGAAAGCAUGUGAGUUUGACUACAGUAUUAGCUUGUCUGGAAACAUCUUGAAUUGCUCGCAUUUUAGUGUGUCAUGCUAGAGAACAAUUUUUAGAAGCAUCUUAGGUACUACUGAACUUUUAAAAUAUAAUAUUAAACUGUAUAUAAGAUAGUCAACAGGAAGAGACAUGCAAUAAAUACUUAAUAAAUAAGUAAAUAAAUAAGCC
rnacentral:lncRNA from 1 species